GAGGAAUAUUGGGCAAUGCCCGCAAGGGUGACCCAGCAACGCCGCGUGGAGGAUGAAUGUCGUAAGAUUGUAAACUCCUGUUAGAGGGGAAGAAUAGUACCGGUUGGACCGGUAUAUGACUGUACCCUCAGAGAAAGCCCCGGCUAACUACGUGCCAGCAGCCGCGGUAAUACGUAGGGGGCAAGCGUUGUCCGGAUUUACUGGGUGUAAAGGGCGCGCAGGCGGGAUAAAAAGUCAGUGGUGAGAUCCUACAGCUUAACUGUAGAACUGCCUCUGAUACUUUUAUUCUUGAGUUCGGGAGAGAGAGACGGAAUUCCAGGUGUAGUGGUGAAAUACGUAGAUAUCUGGAAGAACACCAGUUGCGAAGGCGGUCUCUUGGUCCGACACUGACGCUGAGGCGCGAAAGCGUGGGGAGCAAACA
rnacentral:rRNA from 1 species